rfam:Lactobacillus reuteri DSM 20016, complete genome.
UUAUCCUUUAAUUUGGUCCCGUGAGGCUAACAAGGGCAGCGUUGUAUUACUAACAUUGAAUCAUACAUAUAUAUUCAAUUUUUCGUAUACGCUUAAGCCCAUUACCAAUGGUUUAAGCGUUUUUUAUU